rnacentral:rRNA from 1 species
AUUGAACGCUGGCGGCAGGCCUAACACAUGCCAGUCGAGCGGAUGAAGGGAGCUUGCUCCUGGAUUCAGCGGCGGACGGGUGAGUAAUGCCUAGGAAUCUGCCCGGUAGUGGGGGAUAACGUCCGGAAACGGGCGCUAAUACCGCAUACGUCCUGAGGGAGAAAGUGGGGGAUCUUCGGACCUCACGCUAUCAGAUGAGCCUAGGUCGGAUUAGCUAGUUGGUGGGGUAAAGGCCUACCAAGGCGACGAUCCGUAACUGGUCUGAGAGGAUGAUCAGUCACACUGGAACUGAGACACGGUCCAGACUCCUACGGGAGGCAGCAGUGGGGAAUAUUGGACAAUGGGCGAAAGCCUGAUCCAGCCAUGCCGCGUGUGUGGAGAAGGUCUUCGGAUUGUAAAGCACUUUAAGUUGGGAGGAAGGGCAGUAAGUUAAUACCUUGCUGUUUUGACGUUACCAACAGAAUAAGCACCGGCUAACUUCGUG